rnacentral:rRNA from 1 species
AUUGAACGCUGGCGGCAGGCCUAACACAUGCAAGUCGGGCGAGCGGAGGACGGGUGAGUAAUGUAUGGGGAUCUGACUGAUGGCGGGGGAUAACUAGUGGAAACGGUAGCUAAUACCGCAUAACAUAAGAUGAACCCAUAUGGGAUUAGCUAGUAGGUAAGUUAACGGCUUACCUAGGCGACGAUCCCUAGCUGGUCUGAGAGGCUGAUCGGCCACACUGGGACUGAGAAACGGCCCAGACUCCUACGGGAGGCAGCAGUGGGGAAUAUUGCACAAUGGGCGCAAGCCUGAUGCAGCAAUGCCGCGUGUAUGAAGAAGGUCUUCGGGUUGUAAAGUACUUUCAGUCGGGAGGCGUUACCGACAGAAGAAGCACCGGCUAACUCCGUGCCAGCAGCCGCGGUAAUUC